CAGCAAUGACGAGUGAGUGAUGAAGGCGGUAGGGGUGUCAGACUAUUUUAGCAAGGAAGAUGAUGACGUUACUUGCAGUACCAGCCCCGGGUAACUCCGUGCCAGCAGCCGCGGUAAGACGGGGGGGGCUAGCGUUCUUCGGAAUUACUGGGCGUAAAGAGUGCGUAGGCGGUUUAGUAAGUUGGAAGUGAAAGCCCGGGGCUUAACCUCGGAAUUGCUUUCAAAACUACUAAUCUAGAGUGUAGUAGGGGAUGAUGGAAUUCCUAGUGUAGAGGUGCAAUUCUUACAUAUUAGGAGGAACACCGGUGGCGAAGGCGGUCAUCUGGGCUACAACCGACGCUAAUGCACGAAAGCGUGGGGAGCAAACAGGAUU
rnacentral:rRNA from 1 species